CCUAAUGGUCCCUUGCUUCCAUGAGGCCCUGAGGUGCCAUAAUGCCCCCUUGGUGACACGAGGCCCUGAAGGGCCCUAACUGUCUCCAUGGUUCCAUCAGGCCCCACAGAGCCAUAAUGGUCUGUGGGUUCCAUGAAGCCCCGCUGUGUCACCACGGCCCCUUGGUUCCAUGGGCUCCAGUGGUGCCACAAUGAUCCCCUUUGGUUCCAUGAAGUCCCCACAGUGUCCCAGUGAUCUCCAUGGGAAAGAAAGAAUCCAGCCCCAGUGUUGGAGGGGCAGUCACCAGAGGCCAAGGCCAGCCAGACUUGAUGGUGCUGGCAGAUUUUGCCUGGGAUCAACCCUCGGAUAUACAGAAUUUUAGAGGUGGAAUCCCAAUUUCAGACAUGGACACCUGGAGGAAGAAGGAUGGUUCUUUACCAUAGGAAGGAAAGCACAGAGCCCAAGGGUUUCAAAGGCAGAAGAGGAGAGAGGUGGCUCCUGGGAGGCCAAGCCAGUCUCACUUGUUUUUCCUGGCAGCUUUUGUAAUGGAGGAAUCCUUGGAUAUAUGGAAUUUGGGAGGAGGAAUCUCAACUUUGACCACAGAUGCCUUGAGAAGAAGGACGGUUCUUUUCCAUAGGAAGGAAAGCACCAACCCCAGUGUUUGGAAAGCAGUGCUCUUCAAGUCUUCAGGGCUUGUGCAGCUGACUGGAGUCAGUUUGGAGUUAUAUUAAGGAGGAAGAUUUCAAACUACACCUCAUGACUUUUUUCUUUUAAUCAAGUGAGAUGUUGAGUGCCAGCAAGGUAAGCCUCCCCAAGCUACAAGGUCUGCCUUUGAUGUGUGAAGGGAUACCAGGCCACGCUACAUCCCUGCAAAUAAGAAACACAUCCUGUGGCAACUGAAGUGGGUAGCUACCGGACCAAGAAAUUAUGGAAGAGGUGCAAUUACACCAUUGGUUCUGUUUUUUGUAAGUGGGAUGAUAUGGGGAGAUGUCUCUCCUGAUAGUUUCUUUUUCUCUUGUAAUUUUGGGUCUUUCACCUUCUUCCCAUUUCAGACGGUAAUAAAACCUUACACAAAAGUCCAUUUUUACAGAGUUGAGAAUUUUUACCUCCUGGAGUUCAAGUGCUGCAUGCAGAAGCUUCCAUUAGUCCCAAGCAUCGACAGGUUGCACUUGCAUUUGCCUUUAGGAUUGUCAUCUCUCACACUGGGGGUGGAAUUGUCAGUUAGUGGCCAGACAUCUGUAGGCAACCCCACUAGGAAGGUGCAGAAGGGGUCGUCAGAGCUGACAACAGGCACAGGGUGUCUUGUUUCAUGGCUUUUGCUAGAGGUAUCCAUAUGUUGUGCUUUGGUUGUGGAGCUACCCAUCCACUCGUGAGGAGCAUGGUUGCAAACAGGCUGAGGAAGGUGAGUAGAAGCUUCUUAUAUGUCAUCUUCAAAAGAAUUGUCUAGUCCAGGUACUAGAGUCGCUGUCUGGUGGUUUUUGUCCUGGGGUGGACUUGGGGGUUCCUUUGGUGAAUCCACGCUCUGUGGCUGCAGGUAGGGCUUGAUGUUCUUAGCUGGGACACACGAAGGUCCUUUACCAUGAAUGGUCUUGUUGUAGCAGUUUGGUCUUCAGGUCCUUUGAUGUUGAAGAGUUCUGCACUUUGGAGACUAUCACUGUCACCUCUGAUCCUGGACAAUCCCGCAUUAGCUCUGAGCACCCAGUUAGGAGGCCACUUGGAACGUGAGAUACUUGUCGCAUCUGCUCCCAUGUCCACAAGCCCUAUCAAAACAAUAUGUUCAUUGGUAAGUUCCAGAGUGCAGGUGAUUUUUGGUUGAUCAUGACUUAUCACCUGGGUCCACAUCACUAGUGAAGCGUCACCAGCAUCCUGUUCAAGGAGUAAUAUGGCUUGGGCAAUUGUUAGUCAUUGGGGUGUAAAACAAGGUGGGUCAGGAGACAGGUCCAACACUGUAAUUUCUUUUUGUGAGGCGACUGAGAGUACAGAUGACAGUGUGAAAAAUCCAUCAGUCCUUGAUCAGCAGUUUCCAAAGAUUAAUAGUUCACCAAUCUUCGGGCCCCAUCUGUCCUGUGGAUAUUGCAUGGACAAAAUAGUCAGUUAAAACUAUUACAAGCAAAGCAGACUUUGCACUCACCAACUCCUAUUUUGUGCCUGGUGAUAAGGUGUUUGGCAACUGGGAGAUGAGGUGCUGGACUUCAGUGCUAUGGGAUCUGUCAGGGAUGUUUGUGUUAUUUGACCCUCGGUGAUUGUAGGCAUCAUCACCUUCAACAUUUGUGUCAUAGCGUGAGGCCACCUUGCACUCAGGUGGUAUUUUUUUGAUGGCUGCUUGGUGUAGUUACCUUUUUAGAAAUUCCGCUUAAUUUGAUGUUGAUUUCCAUUAGGGAGUGGAUACCCCCCUCCCCUGGUGACAGUCUUUUCUAAAAUGUCUUUGUUGACCAUACUGGAAGCAUAUUUUGGGCCCUGUAGAUGUUGCUGGGGUCCCUUAAAGGGGGAAUUGCAUGGCCACUAGGGCCUCUGUAACUCCUUGCCCAAUGGCCUGGGCUUGUAUGGCCGCUACAUGUUCUGUUGUCCUGAGGCAAUUACAGCCUCAAUCAUCGGCAAGAUUGUGGGUUCUGGCUCUAGUGGAAGGGCAUGCAGCCCUUUCUUACAUUCCGGGUUGGCAUUGGCUACCCCUAAUGAGUUUAGUAAUUAAUUUUGAGUCUUUUCAUCCCAGACUUGUUUCUCUAGUGCCUGUUUAAGGUGAUCAAUAAAUUUCAUGUGAGGGUCUCCAGGUUCUUGACUUAUGUUUACAUAGUCCAAACUGGGGGUGCUACCAUCCGGUACCUGGAUUAAAGCUUUCAAAGCCAUCUCUUUUGUAUCAUCCAAUACUUCUCUGGGGAUACCUGCUGCUUGAUCAUCUGGCAGGCUGUGGUGUUAUUUUCCAGCUAGAUGGUUGAUUGUCAAUUCCACCCUUGCCUCAUUAUAAGCAUAGUCUGCUACAAAUUGAUUUAGUAAACACUUCCAUCUCCCUUCCCACACGGUAUAUUCUGUAGGUGACAACAACAUAGCCAUAAUAUAUUUUAAAUCGUAGGGGGUUAAGACAUGUGCUGUAAACAUUGGCCCUCAUUAGGCUGUUAAAAUAAGGUGAGUCCCUCCCAUGCUCAUUAGCUGCCCUGUGGAAGCCCAGGGCACCAGGAAUAUUUCUCUCUCUGCUCUGCCAUGUCCUGAUCCCCAGGGGAGCACUGACUUUGACCCUGAUUCAUGGAGAAAGUUUUCUAGAAUUCAAGAUAGAUUAGAGUCUACAAAAGUGUGAAAUAGAUUAUAGAGAGUAGUGUAGGUGCAUCACUUGCUGAGAAAUUUAGGUUUUGGGAUUUUUAGUAUGUUGUGGGUGGAAGCAAGAUGGAGGGCACAGGGUGUUGUCCUGGGUUUCUUCUUCAUGCUUCUUCUUCCUUCUUCUUCAUGGGUUUGGGUGGCAUUUUGUAAUUGGGCAGAAAAGUCUGCGUUGCAGGCCCUUUGGGAGCAGUUAUUGGGUUAAAAGGGAACAUAAUCUAGGUGUCAGUUCUUAAUUGAAUAGUUUCAUCUUAAAAGACCUUGUAACAAGAGAUUGUUGGCCAUUUUUUGCCUUCUAAUGAAAAGCUGCUGAACUCACAGUAGUGAGACUGUUUUACAGAUAAGAAAUAAUAAACACUUGAGUCUGAACAUGAA